rnacentral:rRNA from 1 species
CAACUGUUAACAACGGAUAUCUUGGCUCUUGUAACGAUGAAGAACGCAGCAAACUGCGAUAAGUAGUGUGAACUGCAGAACUCAGUGAAUCAUCGAAUCUUUGAACGCAUGUGGCGCUCUUGGGAUAUCCCUUGAGCAUGCCUGUUUGAGUGUCGGUUCCUAAA